rnacentral:rRNA from 1 species
UACGUAGGGUGCGAGCGUUGUCCGGAAUUAUUGGGCGUAAAGAGCUCGUAGGCGGCUUGUCGCGUCGGAUGUGAAAGCCCGGGGCUUAACUCCGGGUCUGCAUUCGAUACGGGCAGGCUAGAGUUCGGUAGGGGAGAUCGGAAUUCCUGGUGUAGCGGUGGAAUGCGCAGAUAUCAGGAGGAACACCGAUGGCGAAGGCAGUUCUCUGGGCCGUAACUGACGCUGAGGAGCGAAAGCGUGGGGAGCGAACAGG